rnacentral:misc_RNA from 1 species
AACGCACCUUGCGCUCCCUGGUAUUCCGGGGAGCAUGUCUGUUUGAGUGUCAUGAACUCUUCAACCCACCGGUUUCUUGUAAACUGGCUGGUGUUUGGUUUCUGAGUGUUGCUCGUCCUUGUGACUGAGCUCAUUCGUAAUAUAUGAGCAUCUCUAAUUCGAAUUCGGAUUGACUCAGUGUAAUAGACUAUUCGCUGAGGACACACCUAGUGUGGCCGAAUAAGAUAAUUGUAGAAGCUUCUAACCCUUCUAGUCAUUUUAAGAUUAGACCUCAGAUCAGAUAGGACUACCCGCUGAACUUAA